AUAUUUACUUGGCAAGGGUGAUACCAUGAUUACAAAUAUGGUUUUCCCAGAGUGAGGCUUGCCCAUUCAACUCCAAAAAUGCUGACCUCUACAAUUUCCCCUAAAUAUGGAACACCCAACUGCAUAAUAUGUAAUAGUAGAGGGCAACAUUAGUGUACUCCUCUA